rnacentral:rRNA from 1 species
CACGUAGGGGGCAAGCGUUGUCCGGAUUUAUUGGGCGUAAAGAGCUCGUAGGCGGCUUAGUAAGUCGGGUGUGAAACCUCCAGGCUCAACCUGGAGACGCCACCCGAUACUGCUGUGGCUAGAGUCCGGUAGGGGAGCGUGGAAUUCCUGGUGUAGCGGUGAAAUGCGUAGAUAUCGGGAGGAAUACCGAUGGCGAAGGCAGGUCUCUGGGCUGACACUGACGCUCAUGCACGAAAGCGUGGGGAGCAAACAGG